AGUGAACGCUGGCGGUAGGCCUAACACAUGCAAGUCGAACGGCAGCACAGGAGAGCUUGCUCUCUGGGUGGCGAGUGGCGGACGGGUGAGGAAUACAUCGGAAUCUACUCUGUCGUGGGGGAUAACGUAGGGAAACUUACGCUAAUACCGCAUACGACCUACGGGUGAAAGCAGGGGAUCUUCGGACCUUGCGCGAUUGAAUGAGCCGAUGUCGGAUUAGCUAGUUGGCGGGGUAAAGGCCCACCAAGGCGACGAUCCGUAGCUGGUCUGAGAGGAUGAUCAGCCACAAUGGAACUGAGACACGGUCCAGACUCCUACGGGAAGCAGCAGUGGGGAAUAUUGGACAAUGGGCGCAAGCCUGAUCCAGCCAUACCGCGUGGGUGAAGAAGGCCUUCGGGUUGUAAAGCCCUUUUGUUGGGAAAGAAAUCCAGCUGGCUAAUACCCGGUUGGGAUGACGGUACCCAAAGAAUAAGCACCGGCUAACUUCGUGCCAGCCGCCGCCGUAA
rnacentral:rRNA from 1 species